rnacentral:rRNA from 1 species
UUAAGUCUUGACGAGUAAGAGGGUCGCGACGGUGAGCGCAGAAGGGUCAGGGCGAGAGCCUGCCUGGAGCCGCCGUUGGUGCAGAUCUUGGUGGUAGUAGCAAAUACUCUAGCGAGGGCCUGGAGGACUGACGUGGAGAAGGGUUUCUUGUGAACAGCCGUUGCACAAGAGUCAGUCGACCCUGAGCCCUAGGAGAAAUCCGAUGACGAUGGGUGGCUUGACAAUAUAUGCGCACACACAUAUGUGUGUAGACACAUUUUAAUCACAGACCACAGACUGUGUCUGUCGUUUAGUUAUGCACAAUGUGCUGCUUACGACUGAACAGCUCCUAUUGGGCAAAAGGGAAUCCGGUUCCUAUUCCGGAACCCGGCUGCGUAACCGCAUCUUUGCGGGCACUUGCUUGCGAGCGCUCGUCGGGGUAACCCAAACUGGCCUGGAGACGCCGGCGGGGGGUCUGGAAAGAGUUUUCUUUUCUUUAUAAGCGUUCGAGUACCCUGGAAUCCUAUAGCAGGGAGAUAGGGUUUGGAACGCGAAGAGCACCGCAGUUGCGGCGGUGUCCGGACCUUCCCCCCGGACCUUGAAAAUCCAGGUGAGGGCCACGCGGAAGUCGCGCCGG